AUGGCGAAGAAGGCCGCAAAGCGAGCUGUUGGUGAAGCAAGGGGUCGGGCAUAUGAGGACCUCUACCAACGGUUAGGCACGAAGGAAGGUGAAAGGGACAUCUAUAAGAUGGCUAAGAUCCGUGAGAGGAAGACAAGGGAUAUUGGCCCAGUCAAAUGCAUCAAGGACGGAGCAGGCCAACUCUUGGUGAAGGACAAAGAGAUUAAGCAUAGAUGGCGGGAGUACUUCGACAAGCUGUUCAAUGGGGAGAAUGAGAGUUCUACCAUUGAACUGAAUGACUCCUUUGAUGAGACCAGCAUGCGUUUUGUGCGGCGCAUCCAGGAGUCUGAGGUGAAGGAGGCUUUAAAAAGGAUGAAAGGAGGCAAGGCGAUGGGCCCUGAUUGUAUCCCCAUUGAGGUGUGGAAAGGUCUCGAGGACAUAGCGAUAGUAUGGCUAACCAAACUUUUCAACCUCAUUUUUCGGGCAAACAAGAUGCCAGAAGAAUGGAGACGGAGUAUAUUAGUACCAAUCUUCAAGAACAAGGGGGAUGUUCAGAGUUGUACUAAUUACCGUGGAAUUAAGCUGAUGAGCCAUACAAUGAAGCUAUGGGAGAGAGUCAUUGAGCACCGCUUAAGAAGAAUGACAAGCGUGACUAAAAAUCAGUUUGGUUUCAUGCCUGGGAGGUCGACCAUGGAAGCCAUUUUCUUGGUACGACAACUUAUGAAGAGAUAUAGGGAGCAUAAGAAGGACUUGCAUAUGGUGUUCAUUGACUUGGAGAAGGCCUAUGAUAAGAUACCGCGGAAUGUCAUGUGGUGGGCCUUGGAGAAACACAAAGUCCCAGCAAAGUACAUUACCCUCAUCAAGGACAUGUACAAUAAUGUUGUGACAAGUGUUCGAACAAGUGAUGUCGACACCGAUGACUUCCGGAUUAAGAUAGGACUGCAUCAGGGGUCAGCUUUGAGCCCUUGUCUUUUUGCAUUGGUGAUGGAUGAGGUCACAAGGGGUAUACAAGGAGAUAUCCCAUGGUAUAUGCUCUUUACGGAUGAUGUGGUGCUAGUUGACGAUAGUCGGACGGGGGUAAAUAGGAAGUUAGAGUUAUGGAGACAAACCUUGGAAUCGAAAGGGUUUAGGCUUAGUAGAACUAAAACCGAGUACAUGAUGUGCGGUUUCAGUACUACUAGCUGUGAGGAGGAGGAGGUUAGCCUUGAUGGCCAGGUGGUACCUCGGAAGGACACCUUUCGGUAUUUGGGGUCAAUGUUGCAGGAGGAUGGGGGUAUUGAUGAAGAUGUGAACCAUCGAAUUAAAGCCGGAUGGAUGAAGUGGCGCCAAGCUUCUGGCAUUCUCUGUGACAAGAGAGUGCCACAAAAGCUAAAAGGCAAGUUCUACAGGACGGCGGUUCGACCCGCAAUGUUGUAUGGCGCGGAGUGUUGGCCGACUAAAAGGCGACAUGUUCGACAGUUAGGUGUGGCGGAGAUGCGUAUGUUGAGAUGGAUGUGUGGCCACACGAGGAAGGAUCGAGUCCGGAAUGAUGAUAUACGAGAUAGAGUUGGGGUAGCACCAAUUGAGGAGAAGCUUGUCCAACAUCGUUUGAGAUGGUUUGGGCAUAUUCAGCGCAGGCCUCCAGAAGCUGCAGUACAUAGCGGACGGCUAAAGCGUGCGGAGAAUGUCAAGAGAGGGCGGGGUCGACCGAUUUUGACAUGA
rnacentral:rRNA from 1 species